GCACCUCAGUAAAACGGGUGCCGGGAUUGGAACCCCGGAUAAUGUCAAAGGCGACACAGACGCCAAAAGCGUCUUUUUU
rnacentral:sRNA from 1 species